CAGUCGCCGCGGGAAUACGUAGGGUGCGAGCGUUAAUCGGAAUUACUGGGCGUAAAGCGUGCGCAGGCGGUUAUGUAAGACAGUUGUGAAAUCCCCGGGCUCAACCUGGGAACUGCAUCUGUGACUGCAUAGCUAGAGUACGGUAGAGGGGGAUGGAAUUCCGCGUGUAGCAGUGAAAUGCGUAGAUAUGCGGAGGAACACCGAUGGCGAAGGCAAUCCCCUGGACCUGUACUGACGCUCAUGCAUGAAAGCGUGGGGAGCAAACAGGAUUAGAUACCCGCGUAGUCCCUGUCUCUUAUAC
rnacentral:rRNA from 1 species